rnacentral:rRNA from 1 species
CCUACGGGUGGCAGCAGUGAGGAAUAUUGGUCAAUGGACGAGAGUCUGAACCAGCCAAGUAGCGUGAAGGAUGACUGCCCUAUGGGUUGUAAACUUCUUUUAUAUGGGAAUAAAAUGUUCCACGUGUGGGAUUUUGUAUGUACCAUAUGAAUAAGGAUCGGCUAACUCCGUGCCAGCAGCCGCGGUAAUACGGAGGAUUCGAGCGUUAUCCGGAUUUAUUGGGUUUAAAGGGAGCGUAGGUGGAUUGUUAAGUCAGUUGUGAAAGUUUGCGGCUCAACCGUAAAAUUGCAGUUGAAACUGGCAGUCUUGAGUACAGUAGAGGUGGGCGGAAUUCGUGGUGUAGCGGUGAAAUGCUUAGAUAUCACGGAGAACUCCGAUUGCGAAGGCAGUUCACUGGACUGCAACUGACACUGAGGCUCGAAAGUGUGGGUAUCAAACAGGAUUAGAUACCCGGGUAGUC